rnacentral:rRNA from 2 species
GGGUUGUGAGGUUAAGCGACUAAGCGUACACGGUGGAUGCCCUGGCAGUCAGAGGCGAUGAAGGGCGUGCUAAUCUGCGAUAAGCGCCGGUAAGGUGAUAUGAACCGUUAUAACCGGCGAUACCCGAAUGGGGAAACCCAGUGUGACUCGUCACACUAUCAUUAACUGAAUCCAUAGGUUAAUGAGGCGAACCGGGGGAACUGAAACAUCUAAGUACCCCGAGGAAAAGAAAUCAACCGAGAUUCCCCCAGUAGCGGCGAGCGAACGGGGAGGAGCCCAGAGCCUGAAUCAGCAUGUGUGUUAGUGGAAGCGUCUGGAAAGGCGCGCGAUACAGGGUGACAGCCCCGUACACAAAAGCGCAUGUGCUGUGAGCUCGAUGAGUAGGGCGGGACACGUGGUAUCCUGUCUGAAUAUGGGGGGACCAUCCUCCAAGGCUAAAUACUCCUGACUGACCGAUAGUGAACCAGUACCGUGAGGGAAAGGCGAAAAGAACCCCGGCGAGGGGAGUGAAAAAGAACCUGAAACCGUGUACGUACAAGCAGUGGGAGCACCCUUUGGGUGUGACUGCGUACCUUUUGUAUAAUGGGUCAGCGACUUAUAUUCUGUAGCAAGGUUAACCGAAUAGGGGAGCCGGAGGGAAACCGAGUCUUAAU